rnacentral:ncRNA from 1 species
GUCGAGAGGGCGAGGAAUACAAUACCCGAAAGGGGAAUAACUCCAGCCUGACCGAACAGGCUUUUGAGCCUCUCGACACCACUCU